CAAAAGAGAAGAAAGUGGGGAAUGUGUAAGAAACUGAUGUGAAUUUUGAAUCAUCAAAAACCCUAAGACAGGGAUCUUAAAAAAACCCUUUUUCCUAACUAUGAAUGAUUCUGAUGAUGAAACUCCAUACCCUUCAAGACCCAACGCUGCCAUUUACACUUCUUCUCUUCGAUUAAGACGCUCAAUUCGAAACCCUACCUCUUAUCCAAGAAAUACCCAUUAUGGGUAUAAUAAUAAUGAAUUUCAAUAUAACCAUCAUGGUGCUGCUGAUGAUGAUGAAUCUGAAGAUGAAGAAGAAAAUCAAGAAUUUAGCAGUGGAGAAAAUGAUGUUGAUAAUUUUCAAGGUAAAAAGAAGAGAAAGUUGGAAACUUUAGUUUCAAAUUACAAUUUUGCCCCUCGUCCAGGUUCAAAGGAAAUUUGGAGUGAAGAGGAGAGUUUUGUGUUGUUGGAAGUGUGGGGUGAGAGGUAUUUGGAGCUCGGACGGAGGAGCUUACGUGCUGAAGAUUGGGGUGAAGUUGCAGAGAAGGUAACAGAAAUGAUUGGUGUUGAUAAAACUGAAGCUGAGUGUAGGAAUCAAUUAGAUGUGCUAAAGAAGAAGUACAAGAAGGAAAUAACAAAAAUGGAGAAAACUGGAGGUGGGUUUCAUAGCAAGUGGACAUUUUUUAAGAAAAUGGAUAUGCUCAUGAAUUUGAGGAUGAAAGGGCAUUGUGGAUUGGGUUGUGGGCUCGAUUCGGGGGAGUAUGUGUUUAUGGACCCACGAAUGUACUUGGAUAGGUCAAAUGUGUUGGAUGAGAUGAGAGAUAGUCCUGCAGGAUCAGAUGCGGAUAAUGAUGAAGAAGAGGAAGAGCAGGGUUCCGGAGGAUGGGAGGGUGAUGAUGCGUCAGCUAAGUUGCUAGCGGAUUCAAUUCAAAGGUUUGGGCAGAUAUAUGAGAAGAUUGAGAAUAGUAAGAGGAAGCAGAUGAUGGAGCUGGAGAAGAUGAGAAGGGAUUUCCAAAGGGAGUUAGAGUUGCAGAAGAAACAGAUAGUUGAGAGGGCACAGCUGGAAAUUGCUAAAAUAAGAGACGAUGGAGAAAAUGAUGAUGAUGAGGACAAUGAAGAUGAGGAUGGCGAAGAUACUCACAAUAUUUCCGGUGAGAAGCUUAGAGGCUGAUGCAGUGUCAAACUAGAGCAUUAUGAAAACUUUGUGGCGUGACUUCUUGGACUAACCUUUUCAGAAUGAAAGAUGAUCACUUACAGCUAAAUCACUGGAAGAUUUUGCAAGGAAGGUUCUCAUUUGAAGUACUGAUUGACUGGAUUCUGGAAUAUCAAGUUAUUCUGCAAAUAUUUAUUUUCCUUUACACUUUUAGCAUGUGGACAAUAACCAAUUUUUCUUGUCAUGUUGAGAUUAUGAGGUUAAUUCAUCCUUAUAGAUUAAUUUCAUAAAAUUUGCUCUUA